rnacentral:lncRNA from 1 species
CAACUGGAAAAAAGCUUAAGCAAAAAUAAACAAUAGCAACAUAAAAUUCCUAUAUUUAAUUUCCUUCCUAGCUAGUACUUACAUAGAAGACAUCAAAAGAGUUUUACCCACAAAAAGAAAUGUAAAACCCUGCAGAGCUUCCUAAAUAGCCAGACCCCUGAGGAAACAGUGAUGGCUCAUGCUUGGCUGUAACCACACACAGGGGGUAUAUGAAAGGCCCUCCGGAGUGCCCAUUGUUUCAGUCCUUUAUCAGCUGCCUGGGUAUUUGCCCUGUGGUUCUACAGGAAUGUACAGCUCUGUUGCUCCAUCUUCCUCAGGAUCAACAUUUUGCAUCUGAGGCUUUCAAGUUCUCACCUGAACUUUUGGCAUACACUUGCUGCCUGCAAAUAGGGGCAUUUCUGUCACGUCUGAAUUAUAUUUGUCAUUGAACCACUUGAGAGUGAAGAACUUGUUUCCUGUUUAUAGCUGCGUAGAGCUCAGCCUAGUCAUACACUUACAAUGGGUUUUGGAAAGGAAUACUGUUAGGUCCUUUCAAACAUGCUGAAGGCAUGUGAGUUCACAUUUGGGUACAUAUGGAUCUGCCUGUUCCUGCCUGCUUUCUGCCUGAAACGGCUGGGGUCCAGGCCAGAUCCCCUGCUGUGUAAGAAAGUGGCUUAGGGUGAGUGUGGUUUCACCCUACCAAGGCAUGUGGCUUCUGGCUGAGGCUUCUGUGCACCCAAAGAGCCAACGUCAGGCUCGUGUUGGCUUGAUUAUGUCCUAGGUACAGCUGGUUUGGAGCCCUGAGACUCUGGUGUGUGGAAGUGAUUCCUAUGCCUCACUUGGCUAGCAAUAGCCAGGCACAGAAUUUGGGUUCCUGCUCUGGUUGUCUGGAGGGCAAUUUUCUAUGCACAGUCAUACCGGUCUAUAGCAGAAAAGAGAGGAUGGUUAUAUGUGUGGCUUUUGCACAUGAGUGUUCCUGUGUCUGUUUAAAGCUGGAUCAUUUCUGGCUGGAUCAAUACAUUUACAGAAAGCGCUAAUCCUAUAUAGGCAGUGCGAAAUACGCAAGCAUGUGUUAAACCAGAGUUUGCAUUAAUGUACCAGAGAGGCUUUCCGAGUGCUCUGUAAGGUAAUGGGCACAAUGAAGCUAUGCAGGAAAGCUGAAAAGGUGUCUGCAUUUGUUUUCUGCAUUGAGUCUUUCCAGAAAACCAAUUUCUGAGGCCUGGUACAGCAUACCAAAAUGCCUUACAUGACCCUUCUGAAAAAGGGGAGGUGGUCUGCUUUCUCAGAGCUGCCAGCAAAGAACAGUACUUCAUCAUCUCACUAUCAAAAGCCCUCCCUCUUCUGUCACAUUGUCAGCAUAUAUAUAUUCAAUGCUGCUGUGAGGCAGUGACAACUUCUGUUCUCCUUCAGAGCCCAGGACAAGUUCUGUGGAAUUAGCAGAGAGAGCAUCUUGAUAAACCUUUGGGUGUGGGCACAGCGUGAUGGAAAAGGGCCUCCUUCCUGCUCUGACAGCAGAGAGGGACUCUGCAAAUACUGUACAGAAGUCAUCUUUAUCCAGCUCCACCUAUUUCAUUCACUUUUAUCCUAAGGGGUGUUUCUAUUUAAAAGAGCCCUGCUGGAGCUGUGUAGGUAUGGAGUUUUGGAACUGAAGGAAGUUCUUUAGCAUAUAAAAACCUUAUUAAGCCUUAGCACAGAUCUCUGUGAGAAAAACGGCCAUGUCCCAAGAUCUGAAAAAGCAUUCUGUUGUAGGGCAAGGAUAUUAUAUUCAAUAAAUCAUAUGGAACUAUUUAUCA